GAUGAAGAACGUAGCGAAAUGCGAUAAGUAAUGUGAAUUGCAGAAUUCCGUGAAUCAUCGAAUCUUUGAACGCAUAUUGCGCCCUCUGGUAUUCCGGAGGGCAUGCCUGUCCGAGCGUCAUUUCAACCCUCAGGGCCCGCCUGCUUCGGCAGGCGCGGCGCUGGUGUUGGGGAUCGGCCUAACCGCCGUCCCCCAAAUACAGUGGCGGUCUCGCUGCAGCCUCCCCUGCGUAGUAGCAACACUCGCAUGCGGAGCGCGGCGCGGCCACGCCGUAAAACCCCCGACUUUCUGAACGUUGACCUCGGAUCAGGUAGGAAUACCCGCUGAACUUAAGCAUAUCAAUAAGCGGAGGA
rnacentral:misc_RNA from 1 species